UGAGGAAUAUUGCGCAAUGGGGGCAACCCUGACGCAGCGACGCCGCGUGAGUGAGGAAGGCCUUCGGGUCGUAAAGCUCUGUCAAAGGGAAAGAAAUGCAUAAUGGUUAAUACCUGUUAUGUUUGACGGUACCCUUAAAGGAAGCACCGGCUAACUCCGUGCCAGCAGCCGCGGUAAUACGGAGGGUGCAAGCGUUGUUCGGAAUUACUGGGCGUAAGUGGCGCGUAGGCGGGUUGAUAAGUCAGAGGUGAAAGCCCACGGCUUAACUGUGGAAGUGCAUUUGAAACUGUCAGACUUGAGUACCAGAGGGGAAAGUGGAAUUCCCGGUGUAGAGGUGAAAUUCGUAGAUAUCGGGAGGAAUACCGGUGGCGAAGGCGACUUUCUGGCUGGAUACUGACGCUGAGGCGCGAAAGCGUGGGGAGCAAACA
rnacentral:rRNA from 1 species